rnacentral:lncRNA from 1 species
CCAUAGAAGAUUUGAUGGACGUGGACAUGAGCCCUCUAAGGCCUCAAAAUUAACUUUUUAAUUGUGAACUAAAGCUGACAAAUAUUAUCACUUUAAUGUGGAUGAUGAUGAAAAUGAGCACCAGUUUUCUUUAAGAAUGGCCAGUUCAGGAGCUGGUACCUAUGAUGAAUUGCACAUCGUUGAAGCAGAAGCAAUGAAAUAUAAACGCAGUCCAAAUAAAAGUAACACUGGCAACUUUGAAAAUGUCUGUACAGCCAACAGUUUCCUUUGUGGGCUUUGAAAUACCACCACCUAUGGUCUUAUGGUUGAAGCAUAGUUCAGGGCCAGUGCAUAUUAAUGGGCAGCACUUAACAGCUGUGGAGGAAGAUGCACAGUGAGAAGAUGAAGAGGAGGAGGAUGCAAAGCUCUUAAGUAUAUCUGGAAAGCGAGCUGCCUCUAGAGGUGGUAGUGAGGUUCCACAGAAAAAAAGUAAAAACUUGCUGCUAAUGAAGAUAAUGAUGAUGACAAUGAAGAUGACGAUGACAAGGGUGAGGAAGAUGAAGAAAAAGCUCAGUGAAGAAAUCUAUAUAAGAUACUCCAGCCAAAAUUGCACAAAAAUCAAACCAGACUGAAAAAGACUCAAAACCAUCAACAUCAAGACCCAAAAGGUCAAGAAUCCUUCAAAAAACAGAAAAAAAACCCUCCCAAAACGCUAAAAGGACCUAGUUCUGUAGAAAACAUUAAAGCAAAAAUGCAAGCAAGUACACAAAAAGGUGGUUCUCUUCCCAAAUUGGAAACCAAUUUCAUCAAUUAUGUGAAGAACUGCUUCCUAAUGACUGACCAAGAGGCUAUUCAAGAUCUCUGGCAGUGGAGCAAGAAGUCUCCU